UGCUGGGAUUACAGGCUUGAGCCACCGCGCCUGGCCGGAUUCUCACUUUUAUCUGCCCCACAACUGGUUGAAGCAUGAGCAUGACCCAGUUUUAGCCAGAAAGAUAGGAGCUUUGUUCUGCUGACCACUAGCAGAGGGUUCCCUUCUUCAUGGAUAUGGUUGAUCUCACAUGGCACUUCUGAUUGAUUUGUCCGGGCUCUAAGACAUCUAAUCUGAAAUUGGCUGCCUCAUAUUCUGGUUUUGCAACAAAUGCCUUAAUUUUUAGACUACCAUAAAUCUUGGGGAUUCUGUUCGCUAUGUGGGUUAGGUUUAGAACAGAAUUGGGCUAAGCCAGUAUGAAGGGAUGAACAGCUUUUGUGAGAGCUCCAACUAUUUGUAUCUCUGAGGUGAUAGUAGGAUGGCAAAGAAUAUCUCUUGUUCUACUGUCAGCCUAACUUGCUUUGCUGCUUAAGGAAAGAAUGCCAGUCUUUGCAGACCUAAUCUUUUGGUCUGUAUGUCAGGAUUUUUGCGUAAUUGAGGUCACCCUAAGCAGUGGGCAUUUGUUGUGAUAAUCUCUGCUGUAUCUGGGAGCAACGUGAAUUAGGUCCCUUUUCCCCAGAAGAUAUUUCUUAUUCUCAAGGCUUCUUAAGGAGAAUUUGAACUCAUGGGACCUGUCAAGGUCUCUGAAAUCUGUUUUUCAGUAGGAAGUUGACACUGGCUGUCCUCCAAAAGGCCCAGGUAGGAAUCAUAAUUGGUGCAGAGACCCAAAUUAUUAAGGGGAUGGGAAAACUGCAGCAAACCGUAAGGAAUAUGACCCUUCUAAAGGUACAUCCACAUGUGUUUCCAUUACUCUGGCUCUACUAUGAGGGUUUACAGAAAUAUUCCCAUACCUGUGUCUCUUAUGGCUAAGAUUACUGUCCAGAAGUCAGUCUAAACAUUUUUGCAAUAAACUGCACAUAUUUACAGUG